GACGAACGCUGGCGGCGUGCUUAACACAUGCAAGUCGAACGGAAAGGCCCCAGCUUGCUGGAGUACUCGAGUGGCGAACGGGUGAGUAACACGUGGGUAAUCUGCCCUGCACUUUGGGAUAAGCCUGGGAAACUGGGUCUAAUACUGGAUAUGACCUUUCUCCUUAUGGGGUUUGGUGGAAAGUUUUUCGGUGUAGGAUGAGCCCGCGGCCUAUCAGCUUGUUGGUGGGGUGAUGGCCUACCAAGGCGACGACGGGUAGCCGGCCUGAGAGGGUGAUCGGCCACAUUGGGACUGAGAUACGGCCCAGACUCCUACGGGAGGCAGCAGUGGGGAAUAUUGCACAAUGGGCGGAAGCCUGAUGCAGCGACGCCGCGUGAGGGAUGACGGCCUUCGGGUUGUAAACCUCUUUCAGCAGGGACGAAGCGUAAGUGACGGUACCUGCAGAAGAAGCACCGGCUAACUAUGUG
rnacentral:rRNA from 1 species